rnacentral:lncRNA from 1 species
GAAAUGUUCUGUGAUGUUCUGUGAUGCAUGUAAUUUUAAUUUUCAGAUGCCUGCGUGCAUCUUAAAUUUAUGUAUUAGAGACCUGCGUGUCUCAAUGAAAAGGGUUGUAAUUUUAUUUUUAUUUUUAUUUAAUUUUUAAAGCAAUCUGGGAUGUAAUCUGUGAUGUGUGUUGCACAUCGAUGGUUGAUCGAUAUGUACAUCAACAAGCUCAACAUGCACGGAUCAAGAUCAAGGGUUGAUUGAAGAUGGAUCAAGGAGUUGAUCACAAUUGGACCUAGAGGAUCAAGAUCGAGUCAAGAGUUGAAGACGAUCAAACCAAUUGACGU